GAGGGUAUCGCUCAGGGGUAGAGCAUAUGCUUAGCAUGCACAAGGGCCUGGGUUCUAUCCCCAGUACUUCUG
rnacentral:tRNA from 1 species